GCGGAAGUGGCGGAAUGGCAGACGCUCACGGCUUAGGACCGUGUGCCCGAGAGGGCGUGGGGGUUCGAGUCCCUCCUUCCGCA
rnacentral:tRNA from 1 species